UGCUUUACACAGCUCACAUCACCACGAGUCUGACAACUCACCGCGAACAUGUCGGCCCCUUGUCUUCUCCUGGUCGUGCUCGUCGCAGCCGUCGCCGUCGAUUCUUAUCCAGUUGGAUACGGAGGAAAAUCGUACGGAUAUGGUGGCUAUGGUAAGUCCUAUCUUUCUGAAUUUAUUCUCCAUUUAUUCCAACGUGCGGGGUUGUAGGUUCAUAGAUUCUCUGUAAAUUAUCCCUUGUCAAUUAUAACAUAGACGUAGUGUGAGCGGGUGAUCGAUGGGCGGCGUGGACUUGGUGGCCCGAGGAUCUGUUUCCAUUCUGCAUCACUAAUCCUAAGUAUCCAGCUGGUUUGUCACGCAACAGUUAUGAUUCUUGGAAAGAUAUAUUGAUACUGAAGGGAUUAGAGAGCAAUGGGCCAAAUGCAGGCAUCUGGGGCAAUUUGGCGUGCCAAGUCAAACAAUAUUAACCAUAUAACAAUUACAGCACGGAAACAGGCGAUCUCGGCCCUUCAAGUCCGCGCCGAACAUUUAUUCCCCCCUAGUCCCAUCUACCUGCACUCAGACCAUAACCCUCCAUUUCUUUCCCGUUCAUAUACCUAUCCAAUUUAUUUUUAAAUGAUAAAAUCGAACCUGUCUCCACCACUUCCACUGGAAGCUCAUUCCACACAGCAACCAUUUUAUUAUUUCAUUUUAUUGGAUGACAUGUGUUUAUUUUAUUUAUUUUUUUUUUUUAUUUUUUUUUUUAUUAGAAGUACGGUAAAUUACAAUCCUACACAACACAUAUAUCUUAAUACAUUUUUUGUACCGCUUCAUUUUUUUUUUGAGCUUUAAGAAAAAGGUAGAAGUAAGGAAAGUAAAGAAAGUGCAAGAGAGUCGUGAAGUGCAAGAGUGUUGGGAAAAGAAAGCCCCUUAGGAAAGAAGUUAGAGAAGGAAGUAAAGUGAGAAAAUAGACCCUAGAAAAGAAAGAAAGAGAAAAUAGAAACAAUCGCUCUAUUAUAACAUUAAACUCCGCAGAAAGGGGACUACCAACCAAGUCUGUUUUUGUUGUUUUACCUCCCGUUACCAGGUCCUGAUACCACUUAUUUAUAUAUUUGUUUUUUUUUUAAUUACUAUUGCACCUCAUACUUGUAAUAGGUCCAGAAACAUAGACCACGUCUUUUGGAAUUGGUCUGCUUUACCUGCUAGGAGGAAUCUCAUCUCUUCCAGAUGUAAUGUUUCAAACAUAUUUGAUAUUCACAUUUUUAUUGUUGGUGUCGGCGUAUUUUUCCAGAAUUUAAGUAUAAGCUUUUUUCCCAUUAUUAGCCCGUAAUUAAAUAAAUUCUUCUGAAACACGUUUAAUUCAGGGUUACCUUCCGAUAUUCCGAAGAUAAUCCAUUCUGGUUUUGGUACCAGUUUUAUUUUGAUCCAUUUUGAAAAAAUAUCAAAUAUUUCAUACCAGAAUUUUUGGAUUUUUGUACAAAAAACAAAAGAGUGCGCUAUGGUAGCUUCUUGACACAGGCAUUUAUCACAGAUUGGUGAAACAUUAGGGAAGAUUUUAUUUAAUUUAGUUUUUGAAUAAUAUAAUCUAUGUAAUGUUUUAAAUUGGAUGAGCGUAUGUCGUACGUUGAUCGAACAUUUAUGCACCUGUAGUAAAUGAUUAUCCCAGGUCUCUUUUGAGAUUUUUAUAGCUAAUUCUUGUUCCCAAUCUUUUCUAAUUCCAUCUGUUGUGGGUAUUUCUAUGUUUAAAAUUAUAUUAUAUAGGUACGAUAUUAAAUUAGCUGAUUCCGCCUUGGUCUUCAUUGCUUCAUCCAAUAAGUCGGAAGGCAUAUUAUGAUAGUCUUUUGUGCGUUUUUUCAGAUAAUCACAAAUUUGAAGACAUUUAAAAUAUUGGUUAUUUUUCAAAUUAUAUUUCAGUUGUAGUUGUUGAAAUGAUAGUAAAUUCCCCAAUUCAUACAGAUCUUCGAGCGUUUUAAUUCCCAUUAUUUCCCAUUGUAUAAAUGAUUUGUCUAUGAUUGAUGGUUUAAACGAUGGAUUAUUGACUAUUGGUAUUAAAAGAGAUAGGUUUCUUAAUUUUAAAUUCUGUUUUAUUUGUUUCCAUGUUCUUAUUGUGUUAUGUA